UACGGAGGGUGCAAGCGUUAUCCGGAUUCACUGGGUUUAAAGGGUGCGUAGGAGGGUAGGUAAGUCAGUGGUGAAAUCUUCGAGCUUAACUCGGGAACUGCCGUUGAUACUAUCUAUCUUGAAUACCGUGGAGGUGAGCGGAAUAUGUCAUGUAGCGGUGAAAUGCUUAGAUAUGACAUAGAACACCAAUUGCGAAGGCAGCUCGCUACACGAAUAUUGACUCUGAGGCACGAAAGCGUGGGGAGCAAACAGG
rnacentral:rRNA from 1 species